AAGAGAAUAUUUACGGUUAUCACCCGCCCAAGAGAAAGAAGAAGUUAUAAACAAAAGUACAUUGCUUCGGCAAAUUAAAGAGGUUGUUACACUUAGUGACAAUGAUGAUACCCUUCAUGGAAGCUUCACCAACUCUAUGAAUAUUCCAGAGCUCGAAGAA